rnacentral:rRNA from 1 species
CCUACGGGAGGCAGCAGUGGGGAAUUUUGGACAAUGGGCGCAAGCCUGAUCCAGCCAUGCCGCGUGAGUGAAGAAGGCCUUCGGGUUGUAAAGCUCUUUCAGCCGGAAAGAAAACGCRCAGGUUAAUAACCYGUGCGGAUGACGGUACCGGAAGAAGAAGCACCGGCUAACUACGUGCCAGCAGCCGCGGUAAUACGUAGGGUGCGAGCGUUAAUCGGAAUUACUGGGCGUAAAGCGUGCGCAGGCGGUUUUGUAAGACAGAUGUGAAAUCCCCGGGCUUAACCUGGGAACUGCAUUUGUAACUGCAAGGCUAGAGUACGGCAGAGGGGGGUAGAAUUCCACGUGUAGCAGUGAAAUGCGUAGAUAUGUGGAGGAAUACCGAUGGCGAAGGCAGCCCCCUGGGUCGAUACUGACGCUCAUGCACGAAAGCGUGGGGAGCAAACAGGAUUAGAUACCCUGGUAGUCCACGCCCUAAACGAUGUCAACUAGGUGUUGGGGGAGGAGACUUCCUUAGUACCGCAGCUAACGCGUGAAGUUGACCGCCUGGGGAGUACGGUCGCAAGAUUAAAACUCAAAGGAAUUGACGG